rnacentral:rRNA from 1 species
AGAGUUUGAUCAUGGCUCAGAACGAACGCUGGCGGCAGGCUUAACACAUGCAAGUCGAACGCACCGCAAGGUGAGUGGCAGACGGGUGAGUAACGCGUGGGAACCUUCCCUUUGGUACGGAAUAACUUCGGGAAACCGAAGCUAAUACCGUAUAAGUCCUUCGGGAGAAAGAUUUAUCGCCAAAGGAUGGGCCCGCGUUGGAUUAGCUAGUUGGUAGGGUAAAGGCCUACCAAGGCUACGAUCCAUAGCUGGUCUGAGAGGAUGAUCAGCCACACUGGGACUGAGACACGGCCCAGACUCCUACGGGAGGCAGCAGUGGGGAAUAUUGGACAAUGGGGGCAACCCUGAUCCAGCCAUGCCGCGUGAGUGAAGAAGGCCUUAGGGUUGUAAAGCUCUUUUGGCGGGGACGAUAAUGACGGUACCCGCAGAAUAAGCCCGGCUAACUUCGUGCCAGCAGCCGCGGUA